rnacentral:lncRNA from 1 species
GAACAGCAGCAACUUCCUUUGGCCUCACCAAAGUGACUUAAGCCUCCAGCAGUAGUCUUUUGGGAGUCCCUGGCUGAAACUAAGACAUAACUAAUCUCUCCUCCAUUUGCAUAUGAAAUGAUCUGCUCUGCUACAUCAUUUAGCUUCCUGACUUCCUCUUCAUGUCCUACAGAAAGGUUAAAGAAGACAGUAAUAUGUGUGUAUGAUUAUGGUCCUCAGUCUCCAAAGUUCUCUUUUCUGAACCUGGAACAAAUACAGAAAAAAGCAUUGUCCCCUUCCACAGAGAAGUGGAAGAACAAUCCACAUGAUUGACUUGCAACUGAGUAAGGACUAAGGAGCCUAAGAUUAGGAGAACCUUCAGAUAACACUUGUAAGGAAUAUAUUCCUUGAGCUUGGAAAUAAAGAGGAAGAAGAGGGAAAUGGCCA